rnacentral:lncRNA from 1 species
UCCUUUCUCUCAACACACAGCAUGAAAAGGCAUUUUGCAGAGUGGAAAGAGCUUUAGCAUUAAUCAUCAUGAAGCGGUGCAAGCUGGCCGUGUGUGUGUGUGUGUGUGUGUGUGUGUGUGUGUGUGUGGGGUGGGGGUGGGGAAUUGGUAUCGAUACCAAGCUGGUCACGUGGCACGGACAAUGUGGGAACAGUAAGAGUGAGACGGCCCUUUCCUCUGAAAUGCCACCCUCAUUCCCUUGGAAGCAGCAAAGAAUUAGACUUUGGGGAAAUGAUAAGAGCCUCUUACCCCCACUGAGAAAGAGUGAAGGACAGAGACCCCGCUUAAGCCAUCAUAUUGCCCUAGGCCGGGGCAGGGA